rnacentral:rRNA from 1 species
AUUGAACGCUGGCGGCAGGCCUAACACAUGCAAGUCGAACGGUAACAGGAAGAAGCUUGCUUCUUUGCUGACGAGUGGCGGACGGGUGAGUAAUGUCUGGGAAACUGCCUGAUGGAGGGGGAUAACUACUGGAAACGGUAGCUAAUACCGCAUAACGUCGCAAGACCAAAAAGGGGGACCUUCGGGCCUCUUGCCAUCGGAUGUGCCCAGAUGGGAUUAGCUAGUAGGUGGGGUAACGGCUCACCUAGGCGACGAUCCCUAGCUGGUCUGAGAGGAUGACCAGCCACACUGGAACUGAGACACGGUCCAGACUCCUACGGGAGGCAGCAGUGGGGAAUAUUGCACAAUGGGCGCAAGCCUGAUGCAGCCAUGCCGCGUGUAUGAAGAAGGCCUUCGGGUUGGAAAGUACUUUCAGCGGGGAGGAAGGGAGUAAAGUUAAUACCUUUGCUCAUUGACGUUACCCGCAGAAGAAGCACCGGCUAACUCCG